AUUCCACAAACUCUCUCUCUUCCUUUAAAUGAAAAAGAAAUAGAGACUUUAUUGGAUGCUCAUUCUCUUCUCGUUGAAACUACCCAUUCUCUCAAUUAUUCCACAACCAAGUUUUCACUUUCUAAAGCCUCUCUCUUCUUACUUCUCUUGCUUUUGUUCUUGCUCUGGUCGUUGUAAGAAGAUAUGCAUGACUGGGCAGCACCGUUGAUUGCUUCUGCUCUAUUUGCGUUUCUAUCGCCAGGGCUCAUACUGCAGUUUCCUGGGAAAGAAUCUCCGGUGGGCUUCAUGAACAUGAAGACAACGGUAGCUUCUAUUUUCGUCCACACCGUUCUUUACGGUCUCUUUCUCAUCCUCUUCCUAGUCGUUCUCAACGUCCAUGUUUAUGCUUAGCUUAAGCUCAAAAUAUUACACUUUGUGCUAGCCUCUGUUUGUGCUAGAUGGGUUUAGUAGUGGAGCUUUGUUUUAUGACUUGUCUUACUUCUUUCUUUGUUCCUUCUUUUUAAUUACUGAUCUAAAGAGAAAAGUUAUUACCAAUUUUGCUUUAGUAUUAUUCAUUAUAUGUGGCCAUAUCUGUGUAUUUGUGAGAAAAUUCCGAGUGAAUUGAGCUUAAGCUGUGGAAACAUGGCUUAACUCUUAAGGAUAACACAAAUGAUCCAUAUGCUAGAAUAAAAAUGGAUAAGAUAAAUAAAGUUGAUCGAACAACUUGAAGUAAAAGGCUACACUUGCUAUACAAAAAUUAUUUUUUUGGGUUUGAAUAAGUUUUGCUUUCAAUUCAAAAAUAAAAUGAUAUCUUAAUUUUACAACUCCUAUCAAAUAAACAAAAUUUAUAUGAUAUUAAGUGCAAUGAAUUCAUAGUAAGGGCAUUAAGUAAAAUAUGCCAAACCUUUGGGCUUAAAAAACCAGUCAGUUUGGUCUAAGAAGGCCUUCUUGAUGUAUGUAGAAGCUGUAUUGUUACAGUUCCAUGUUGGGAAAUCAAUUACACCCUCGUUGAAUCCAUAGCAAGUGACAUUACUAAAAAUGAUACACUCCUUUUCAAAAUGUUACAUGUUUUAGCCUUUUUACAUAGAUUAAUAAAAUAUAUUAAAUUUAAGUUAAAUGCAUAAUUUUGUAAUUAUUUAUUUUUUAUGAUUCUAAACCAAUAAAAAUUCAGUAAAUACAAUUAAUAUUCUUGAAGUUUACAAUUAAUUAUUAUUAGGAUAAAAAGGAUAUCUAUUUUAUUUAUAUAAAGUUGAGUUACCUCCCUCCUGGUGAUGUCACCUCGGAUUCCAGCCUGGAAACUCGUGCGUCCAGAGCGUGACACAUGUCGGGGAUUAAUGAAACGCAGCUUGCUGGGCGUGCGUGUUCUGUCCGGAUUUCAUUUGGGCUUCGCAUCGCUUAUAUCUUCACGGCCCAUCUAGCACACCGGUCGAACGAGACCCUAAUCAGAUGAGGUUCGCUCAUUCGUCGUCUCCUCUCCUCUUCGGUCGGCGACGAGACGAUACAGCUUCCGUAACGGUGAGCGUUGAGCUUUAAUCGUCUUAAAUCGUCUUAAAUCGUCUUAACCUUCUUCGUGGCAGUGAGAAUUCUCACCUAUAAAAAGGUGCGGCUGAUUAGAUUCUGUGAAGCCAGAAACUUUAAAGGUGGUGGCGAGUCGAUGUGUGUGACUGUGAUAUGCUUCUCUUUAACGCUAAGGUUGUUCCUUUCUUUAAACUCAUUAUCAUCUUAAUUUAAAACAGAUUCAGGCAUAAAAAAUCUAAAGAAAAUUAUAAAUUUUCAGUCAAAAUAUUUAUUUCACUCUUUCGUAGAUAGUUUCAGUUCCCUUUGUUGAUUUCAGAAACUGGGUUUAUUUACAGUUCUUAUAAAUAUUACCGGCAGACUGAAACUGAUUUUAAUAUGGCAUUGAAUCCUUCACGUGUUUUGAAUGACAUGGACAGCGAUGAUGAGCAGUUCCUUGCAAGAAUUCCUGGGUAUUUCGAUGCUGAGAAUAGUGCUUCUUAUGAGAUCACUGAGGACAUGUUUGAGAAGGCUUCGUAUGUAAAACAACUUGAUCACUUUACCUUAGUCGAAAUUCAAGAAAUGAUGGUCGGAGUUAGAUCCUUGGAACCAAUUUGGAGAACCAAGAGGCAGAGCAAGAGAAUGCCACUAAUCAGGCAUCUUCAGCAGGAGGGCAAUGAUGAUGAUUGAGAUGCCUGGAACGUAUCAGGGCCUACUAAGGCUGAUGUUGGUGGUAAUGAUCGUGAGGAAUCACCAACUAUAGGAACAGCAGCACCGUCAUCUUCCAAGGUUGUCAAGAAGGCCUGAAUUGUAUAGGUGAAGAUCAUGAAGCACUUGGACGCAAUAUUUGCUAUUUGAAUAAUGCCAAGGCACCAUUUUUGUUUCCUUCUGCAGUUUGCUAUGUUUUUCCAGACAGUCUUCAAAAGUUCUGAUUCAGUUUGAACUAAUAUAAAGAUAUUUAUCACA